GUGCUCGCUUUGGCAGCACUGCACUAAAAUUGGAACGAUCCAGAGAUUAGCAUGACCCAUGCUCAAGGAUGACACGCAAAUAUGUGCAACAUUCCAUAUUUUU
ensembl:snRNA U6 U6 spliceosomal RNA